CUUGUGAUCCGCCCGCCUUGACCUCCCAAAGUGCUGAGAUUACAGACGUGAGCCACCGCGCCCGGCCUUUCCUAUGCUUUUUUUUUUUUUACUAGCUUCAUAGUUUCAGGUUUCAGAUUCAAGUCUUUAAUCCAUUUUUAUUUGAUUUGAUUUUUGUGUAUGGUAAGAUGGGUUUAAUUUUAUCCUUCUGCAUAUAGUUAUUCAGUUUUCCCAGGAUCAUUUAUUGAAAAGACUGUUGUUUUCCCAGUGUAUGUUCUUGAUGCCUUUGUCAGAGAUGAGUUGUUUGUAAAUGUGUAGAUUUGUCUGCGAUCUCUAUUCUGUUCCACUGUCCUAUGUGUCUGUUUUUAUGCCAGUAGAAAUAUAUUGGCAAUAAUUAGUACAGAAAAGCUGAAACAAUGAAAUGACAAAAGUGAAGUAUACUGAUAUAAUUCAUUAUGCUCACUAAAUACAAUAGCAUACAGCUAGGAAAACAAUGUAGUGCACACGGUAUUAAAAUACAACACAAUUCAAUAUACACAGUGCUCACAGUGGCCAUCGUUAGAGUGUUGAAGAAGGGGAUGCAGUCAGCAAAAGUUGUACAGGUGACUUCAAAAGUAAUCAUAAGCACUUAUGAUUACUUUUGGCUUAAUUUCUUAAACCAAGACUGGAGACACAGGUGUUCAUUAUGUGCUUAUUAUAUAUAUAAAAUAAAUAUUUUAUAAAUAUAUUGUUUCUAUUCAGUAUUUAAUAAAGUAAAUCAAUAGAAAAGGUUAAAAAGCAAUGCACACAUAUUUCAAAUAUUUUUUGCUCCAAAUUAUAGAAACAUUGCAUAGUUAUUGCCCUGGGCCUGGCAAGGUGACUCACACCUCUCAUCCUAGCACCUUAGGAGACUGAGGCAGGAGGAUAGCUUCAGCCCCAGAGGUCAAGGCUGCAGUGAGCCUUAAUUGCACGACUGCACUCCAGCCUAGGUGACAGAGCAAGACGCUGUCUGAAGAUAAAAAUAAAAAUAAGUUACUAAAUAAAUAUAUGUUUAUAUAUUAACUGAUUUUAUUAACUAUAUAUAUAUAUAUAUAUAUAUAUAUAUAUAGUUGUUGUCUUGGUCUAUAGGCAAUCUUACAGUGCUUAAGACUUUGAUACUGAGAACAGAUCUCCUAGGUAUAUGCUGUGUUUCUGGGGUGAC
rnacentral:lncRNA from 10 species